AUCUGAAGAGGCUGUGCCCAUGGACCACUGGAGACUCCGAUGAUGGAGAUGUGCUUCAGCCUCCUCCACUUAAGAAACGAUGUGUGAGAAAAGCCCAGUACCUAAAGAGCACACCUGUAAAGGAUUGUGCACGUCAUCGAUUUCCACAUAAACAGCAAAGCAUCAAUUGAAAGAAGGACCUACACCUUUGUACUUUGCUACUGUUACUGUUCUUUGAUAAUUAAUGAAACAAUAAAAUACUUGGUGUCUCUAAUCUGAAAUACCCGUUUUUUUUUUUAAAGAAUUGAAACAGAAAAAAAGGUCUAAUGU